rnacentral:snoRNA from 1 species
AUCCAAAACGAUUCCCUUUUCAAGGAGCCUGCUUGUGCCCAUCUUCAGAAAAGUAGCAACUUGGAAUAAAAUCUGGAAUGCUUUAGGUUGUUGGAGGAGAGGAGAGUGUUUGUUUCCUUUGCCUUCCUUUGGCUACCUACACAU